GGCCCCGCUUCCGGGUCUGGGCGCGGCCUCAGGACGUGGGCACGUUGUCGUCCAGAGAGCAAGAGCGUCGCUCCCCCUCGCCUUCUCGGCCGCCCUCCCGGUUUACCGCCCCCUGUGUCCAGAGAUCACAGAUGGAGAGACAUUUUGCCACACGAUGAAUCACACACCACAUCUCAUCCCCGAGCUUCAGCUGCAGGACAAUGCUGCCAGAGGCCUGGUCCUCAGAGCUCACGUAAGCAUCUCUGGUGUGCAGUAUUUUUACUCCGUUUUUGACCAAAGACACCUGAACAUUCCUGGAGAAAACAGUGAUGUGGAUCUUAUCAAAUUUAAUGGGCACAUCUGAAGAAGGAAACUUGCUCAGCACCGUGAGCCCCACAGUGAAAGCACUUUUUGGCAAGACUAGAGUCUCACCGAUUUUCCCUUUCUCUCCUCGAUCUCCUUUCCAGCCUCUUAUUCCCCGGACUCCUGGCUCACCCUGGGGCCCCGUGGGUCCAGCUUCUCCCUUGGGACCAGGCUUUCCAAUAGGGCCCAUGGGGCCCGGUAAACCAGUUGGGCCCAAAGGCCCAAUGUUGCCCCUUGGCCCCUCAGGACCAGUGGGACCCACGUCACCCUUAUUCCCCUUCUGCCCCUGAGGCCCAGUCUCUCCUCGGAGGCCUUUCUCUCCCAUGGGCCCUGCAAGCCCCUUGGGGCCAUGUUUUCCUGGGGAUCCUCUUGAGCCUUGAUCACCUUUGAUGCCUUUUGCUUCAACUUUUCCAUCUGCUCCUAAAUAGAGAAAGAGCAAAUAAAGAGAUAGUUUGUGAAAGA
ensembl:lncRNA PCOTH prostate and testis expressed opposite C1QTNF9B and MIPEP